UUUUGCGUGACAAAAUUUUGCAAGUUUUAAUGAAAAAGAAGUGUUUGGACAUGCAGGGUCGGGAAAUGGAGUUUGAAAAUUUGAAAGUGGUCUUCCCGUUGCUUCUGAGCCCAAGAACCCGCUACAUAGAGUUGAACAGCAUUUUGUCCUUUUGUCCUGACUGGUUUAAUGACAGUAACAUUGAUAAGGUGACACCAUGGUGCGUUGAACUUUUAAAACACAUAGAGACACGUGCUCCGCAAGUGGAGACUCUCAUCAUAAAACGAAACAAUUCAUCUCUUUACGAAGUGGGAGGUCCGUGGUAUUCAGAAUUUGUCGAGUUCUCUCAGGACAUGGUGAAAUCACUGAUGAAAAUGGGAAAAUUAAACAGGCUUACAGUCGGCUCUUAUUACUUUGACUCCGCCGAUUUGCUUAAAAUAUGCAAAAAUCUUCCGAAACUACAGUACAUCAAUAUCGAGUUGGUAUAUAACAGAGGCAAUGUCAGGCCAGCCACUGAAGACGUAACAAGCAGCCUUUGCAACCUGAAAGAAUUGAUUUUCCUAUGCCCUUCUCGUUUCACCAACGAUUAUUUGAGUUAUUUGUACACCAGAAAUCUACCUAACAUUGAAGUAGUUGGAUGUGAUCCGAACCAAACAGUGGAUUUAUUCGGCAUCAGAAGAGAUGCCAAUAGAUAUUUGGAUUUCCGUGGACCCUCAAAUCUGCGAAAUAUUUUUCUCUUCACGGAAAGUGCAGAAGAAGCUGAAUCGAUGCCCAAAUUAUUUCCAAAUGUGACCAGUCUCAUGGUAAGCAUUUGCUCAUUUUGGAAUUAUCUGAUUGAUUUUCGAUUUUUAAUCCUAAUUUAAACAUGCAUGCCUAUAGCAUAUUAUGCUUCACCGAUUUAAGCAUUAUUUUUUAUUUAAUUUUAAAGGUUAACAAUAUUUCGAAUUGUGGAAGAGGAUUAAUAACUUUGGAAGAGCAUGUGAUGCCGAAAUUCGACAAUAUUAGACAAUUUCAUUUGUUGAAUCCUUGCAGCGGAGUUUUUGAGAAGUAUUUGAGCAUCUACGGACAAAAGUUGCAAUCACUUUAUUUGGGACAUCAUUAUGGUAGAGAUGAAACAAUAGAUUUUAAUUUGAUUUUCAAGUACUGUCCGACUCUUGAAAAAUUGUCAAUGAGGAACAUGUGUUUUAAAACACCAUUAUCAAAGUUAGAUUUUUUUGCGCAGCUGAAGGAACUCGAAUGGACAGAUCUCAACUAUCAUUGCAAUCCUCAUGGAAUACCUGGUCCAGAAAGCAAGGAUUUCCUGUCCAAUAUUUUAUCAGCUCCAAAACUUGAAAAAGUCAAGUUGGAAUCGAGUGUUUGUAUGCAAUAUGAUCUUCGGAAACUCAACUCUUUGAUUGAAGAAAAUCAAAUUUUAAAUAACCUUAACACUUUACAUGUAUAUUACUUUGAAUAUCACAUCGAUGACGCUUUGGCUAAUGUUUUGAGGAGUGCGUGUGCAUAUCUUCCGAAAUUAACUGAUUUCAAAUUCGGAAAAAGACAUAAAUUUGAAGACCCGCUCCUGCCAAUCCAAUCGACUCCACUCAGUGAUAUCGAUGAAAGUGUUUGUGAGAUGAUUGGUGUUUUUGAACA